UGGCGGCGUGCCUAACACAUGCAAGUCGAACGAGAAAGUGGAGCAAUCCAUGAGUAAAGUGGCGACCGGGUGAGUAACACGUGACUAACCUGCCUUUGAGUGGGGGAUAACCUCGGGAAACCGGGGCUAAUACCGCAUAAUGCCUACGGGUUAAAGGAGCAAUUCGCUUGAAGAGGGGGUCGCGGCUGAUUAGCUAGUUGGCGGGGUAACGGCCCACCAAGGCGAUGAUCGGUAGCCGGCCUGAGAGGGCGCACGGCCACACUGGAACUGAAACACGGUCCAGACUCCUACGGGAGGCAGCAGUGGGGAAUUUUGCGCAAUGGGGGAAACCCUGACGCAGCAACGCCGCGUGGAGGAUGAAGUCCUUUGGGACGUAAACUCCUUUCGACCGGGACGAUAAUGACGGUACCGGUGGAAGAAGCCCCGGCUAACUUCGUGCCAGCAGCCGCGGUAAUACGAGGGGGGCAAGCGUUGUUCGGAAUUAUUGGGCGUAAAGGGCGCGUAUGCGGUGCGGUAAGUCACCUGUGAAACCUCUGGGCUUAACUCA
rnacentral:rRNA from 1 species